UGUAUGAGUGGACAAUUACCAAACUACCCCAUAUACACCGUUGUUCACAUAUCUGUGUAUUUGCUAGGGUUCCGUUAUCUUAAACAAACCAGGCAGACGGCGACGAAGAAGAACUAGAGAGGGGGAUAAGACUACACAACAUUCGACGACCGAUCCACGCCAACAUCGCUUCUUCAAUGCCUAAACCAUCCUUUACGCGUAACAUUUGCAUCUUUGGCCUUGCUGAAGUCGUGGCCAUGUCUAACGGGGAAAGUAACAGCAAUGAUGACUUCAUUGAGCAAAUAAACCAAUUGGCUAUUCAGAUUCAAGAACAAAAUAAUUAGACGUACGUGUAAGCAUGUCGGUAUGUACAAGAGUAUUACAAAAAAUGCAUGUUAAAAACACUAUGUCGAACAUCAAUAUUGACUGGACGUGCAUGGAUAUAUGAAUUAUACGAUGGACACAAUGGUCGUUUUGAAGAAAAUGUAUGUAUGCCAAAAGAAGUAUUUUCUUUGUUGUGUAACACGUUAGUUAGAGAUUUUGGUUUAUGUGUUAACCAACGUAGCCAUGGAUUAGUCGUGGAAGAAAGCGUUGCAAUGUUCAUACAUGUGUUGAGAGGGUUUAAGAAUAGAGCCAUCCAAGAAAGGUUUCAACAUUCGGGUGAAACCGUAUCACGCCACGUGCAUAAUGUUUUUGGAGGCGAUGAAGAAGUUCACGGUUGUGCAUUGUAGGCCAACAACAAAUCAAAAUGUUCAACAUCCUCAUUUGCGAUAAAAAAUGAAAUACCUACCUUUCAAGGAUUGCAUCGGUGCAAUCGAUGGCAUGCAUGUUGUUGCGAAAGUGACGGGGCCUGAUGCAACGACCUAUUUUAAUACUGUCACACCCAAAACAUCAUGGCAGUGGUUGAUUUUGACAUGUGUUUUACCUUUGUAUCAGUUGGAUGGGAAGGCAGUAUGUGUGACAGUAGAGUUUUUGUUGAAAUAAUCAACAAUGAAAAUGUGCCAUUUCCAUAUUCGGAGGAAGGGAAAUAUUAUGUUGUUGAUUCGGGCUAUUCUAAUCGAACAGGAUACCUCGCCCAGUACAAGGGCCACCGUUACCAUCAACAAGAUUUUCAGCGAGGUGCAAGGAACGCAGUGAACCCUAGAGAAUUAUUUAACAAGGCACACUGGCGUUGCGCAGUGUCGUUGAACGAACCUUUGGGGCGUGGAAAAAUUGAUGGGGUUUUAUCGAAAUAAUGCCUCGUUAUGAUUUUGCGAAUGCGCUGUUGCAUUUAGUUGGUGCAUCGAUGGCAUUGCAUAACUACAUACGAAGUAAUCCAGCCACUGUUCAACCCAUAGUGACAGAGGCCGACGUGGCAACCAUAAUCAAUGCCAUUCCUCUGUUAGCACCUGGAGGGGAGGGGGGAUGGACUAAUAGUUAGGGAUGAUGACCUAUAUGUGGAAAGCAUGCGAUUUCUUGUAAGACAUUGUUUGGUCCACAUGCGCAAUCACGGCAUGUUGGGAAAUAUAUAGGGGGAAUUCGGUAACCCAAGUUCAUUUUUCUUCUUGUUUGUAUGUAGUAUUGUAGCACCAUGUUUAGUAUUUAUGGUAUUGUGCGUAUGUACGUUAUGUAAUUAGGCAUGCACGUUCCCAUUAUGGUAUGCUAAAGUAAUUGGUUAUUGUUGGAGAGAUAAUUACCAACAAAUGGUUUUUAUUAUGUAUACAUUGAGGGAAAUAUUGUUCAGACAAA